UCUAAAAUGCCCUUUCGAAUCUUUCUUUCAUUCCUGUAUGCUUUCUCUCGGCUUACCUCUCUCUCUCUCAGUCUCUCUCUCUCUCUAAGUUUACUCGCUCUCUCUCUGUAACGCCGGCCAACCGUGUUCUGCAAGCCUUGAAAACCAAGAAAACCAGACAUGAGGGUGGGAUGCAGCAAUGGCAUCCUUUGUACCCUGAUUGGUGGGAUAGGUAGGGGUGUCAAUCCGGGUUUUUGACAGGCCAAUCCGCCUGCCUUCCUGCUGUUCCCUGAUCCUCAGCAUACUAUUUCGGAUUCUAUUUCGACCCCCAGCAUUGCAAAUUCAGGGUUUUGACUACAGUAUCGAAUGUGUUGGCAUGGAGGAAGCCCAUUCCGGAAUACUAGCUGUUUGACUCAUUGAUUGGACAAUGGAGGCUUGCAUGCCAAAAAAACCUCUAAUCUUUGGCAUGAAGAAUCUUAUAUCGAUUGGCCAUACAUGCUAGGAUGGACAGCAGGUUGAUCAGCUUCGACAUGGUGAGAGAGGCAGUUGAGAUAGUGCACCCUCGGUGUGGGUUGGCCAUGUUGCUCUUGGAUUGGAAUGGCCAUGUUUCUCUUGUGGCUGUAAUAGGGCUUGAUCUAAAAAGUUAAUGGUGUGGUUUUGCAAAACUGAAGACAAAGUGGGAGGAGAUAAUCAACGUACAUCUUGCCCGAGUUGGGGUUCGAAUAUGAUGGUGAAAAUGUGCUGAAGAAAGGUGAUAGGCAUCCCUCACCCGUGCUUGUAUGUGGAGGCCACAUUUUUAUGAUUUACGGUAAAAAGAUUAUGAGUUAUGGCAGUAGUGGGAGGCUGCAUGCCUUUUUUCCAAGUGAUAGAGAUUGUUUGAUGGUGAGUAUAUAUGCUACAAACCCACCCUGUUUCUUUGGAUUUUUAUGGUGAUGAGAGAGGAAUGGGGAGAUGUGCGGUAAGAAGAAGCGGGGUCUCUCUCAGCCAAGCUUACUGGCAAGAAAAAGAACCUUAAAACUCCGUGCAACUCUCUCCCAUGACAACAGUUUGGUGGUCCCCAAGACAUCUUGAAUGGGGUUGUUGAGUUUGUUGAGGGACUACAUUGUCUUUUCGGUUGCUUUUUAUUACACUUGUAAUAUUUUAUGCUCCAUUAUAUUUACCUAAAUGCAUGUCUGUAAUUGAUCUUUUUUCUCUCUCUCUCUCUCAUGCCAAUGCCCAUACCCAUGCCGCGCUGAACUUCAACAAUUAAAAUGUGGAUAAAGCUUGCUGCACACGAGCAAAAAGGGGUGUUACUCUUGAAGCCAUAACCAUCUGCUCUCUCCCUCCCUCUCUAGAACUUGUCCAUUGCUGUUUGCAGGAACUCGUCAAGGAAACUGUCCUCUAAAGCUGCCAAAAAAAGCUCCUAUCGAGCUGAUAAUUGCCAGAAAUCUCAGCUGUUGGGCAUUCCGGAUUUUGCGGGCAUUGUUGUUUGGCUUCUGCAUCAUUUUCUUGACAUUUUUUCCUUUUUGAGGACAAUUUGGAGCUCUAUGUGUCCUUCUUCGUUACAUAUGUAGCAACGACAUUUUCUUAAUAAAAAGUUUGUUCUCUGAUGCA